rnacentral:lncRNA from 1 species
CUACUAUCCCUGACCUGAGAACCAGGCGUGAACUAGACUGGGUGACAGUGAUGGACCUUGAUGAGCUCGUGGGACCUUCUAGACCUGAUAUUUCUUCAUAAUAACAGCUGACAUUUACAUGACACUCCAGAAGGGUUUCCAAGAGGCUGUCUCCUUCACUCAUUGGAUUCUGAAGACAACCAAGAGAAAUAGACCAUCCUACAGGUAGGAUUCUGGGUUCUCAGGGCUCCCCCAGCUCUAACCUUUUGUUUUCUAAGGUCCCUCCUAGUUCUGACAUUCUGGGUUCUAAAGAACUCCCCCAGCUCUGACAUACUGGGUACUAAGGGUUCCCUCAACUCUGAUAUUCUAGGUUCUAAGGUCUCUCCAGCUCUGACAUUCUCUGUUCUAAGGUCUCUCUCAGCUCUGACAUUCUCUGCUCUAAGGUCUCUCUAGCUCUGACACUCUCUGUUCUAAGGACUCUCCCAGC